UGAGACUGAUAGCAGCGGCUUGUCUCUGUCUGACGAUUGAAGACACUGGUAUUUGGGUGGAAGAUCAACAACAACACGUCCUUUACAAAGAAGUGAUGGUACCACGGUACAACAAUGCUGUCAGAGUUAAAUGUGUUCUCAGAAGACAGGGACAUAAUCCACCCAGUGCAUGAGGACAGACUGUAACAACACACACGAUUCACAUGCUAACUGAGAUCGGACCUGGCACUUUCCAAGAAUAGGGGUGUGAUGGGUCUGAUCUUCCUGUGUGUGGAGGAUGUGUUUCAACUCAUCAACUACUUCAGCUUCAGUUACUGGCUGUAUUUAGGCAUGUCUGUGGCCGGACUCAUUUAC